GGGUGACUAGUAUAGUGGUCAGUACACUUCGUUGCGGUGCUCGUUGCAGGAAGUAUGCAUGCAGGGAGGAGUGACAUGUCCGAAGAAACCCAGGCUCGAUUCCUGGGUUGCCCA